rnacentral:rRNA from 1 species
UUGUUCAAUUCGAUGCAAAGCGAAAAACCUUACCAGGGCUUGACAUGCCGCGAAUCCUCUUGAAAGAGAGGGGUGCCUUUGAGAACGCGGACACAGGUGGUGCAUGGUUGUUGUCAACUCGUGCUAUAAGGUGUUGGGUUAAGUCUAGCACAGUUAAUGAUAUCAUCCCAAGUAUUAAUUACACAACCUUGACUAUCAA